rnacentral:rRNA from 1 species
CUUGGUAGUUAUAACGGUUAGGGUCCACCUGUUCCCAUUCCGAACACAGAAGUUAAGCUAACUUGUGCUGAUGGUAUUGCAUUUCGUAAAUGUGUGAGAGUAGGUAGCUGCCAAGA